GUUGACCUCGGAUCAGGUAGGGAUACCCGCUGAACUUAAGCAUAUCAAUAAGCGGAGGAAAAGAAACCAACAGGGAUUGCUCUAGUAACGGCGAGUGAAGCAGCAAUAGCUCAAAUUUGAAAUCUGGCGUCUUCGACGUCCGAGUUGUAAUUUGUAGAGGAUGCUUCUGAGUAACCACCGACCUAAGUUCCUUGGAACAGGACGUCAUAGAGGGUGAGAAUCCCGUAUGCGGUCGGAAAGGUGCUCUAUACGUAGCUCCUUCGACGAGUCGAGUUGUUUGGGAAUGCAGCUCUAAAUGGGAGGUAAAUUUCUUCUAAAGCUAAUAUUGGCCAGAGACCCAUAGCGCACC
rnacentral:rRNA from 1 species